rnacentral:rRNA from 1 species
GUGGGGAAUAUUGCACAAUGGGCGCAAGCCUGAUGCAGCAACGCCGCGUGAGGGAUGACGGCCUUCGGGUUGUAAACCUCUUUUAGUAGGGAAGAAGCGAAAGUGACGGUACCUGCAGAAAAAGCACCGGCUAACUACGUGCCAGCAGCCGCGGUAAUACGUAGGGUGCAAGCGUUGUCCGGAAUUAUUUGGCGUAAAGAGCUCGUAGGCGGCUUGUCGCGUCUGCUGUGAAAUCCCGGGGCUCAACCCCGGGCCUGCAGUGGGUACGGGCAGGCUAGAGUGCGGUAGGGGAGAUUGGAAUUCCUGGUGUAGCGGUGGAAUGCGCAGAUAUCAGGAGGAACACCGAUGGCGAAGGCAGAUCUCUGGGCCGCUACUGACGCUGAGGAGCGAAAGCAUGGGGAGCGAACAGGAUUAGAUACCCGUGUAGUCC